rnacentral:rRNA from 1 species
CCUACGGGUGGCAGCAGUGAGGAAUAUUGGUCACUGGGCGCGAGCCUGAACCAGCCAAGUCGCGUGAGGGAAGACGGUCCUAUGGAUUGUAAACCUCUUUUGUCGGGGAGCAAAAGACGCCACGCGUGGCGUUCCGAGAGUACCCGAAGAAAAAGCAUCGGCUAACUCCGUGCCAGCAGCCGCGGUAAUACGGAGGCUGCGAGCGUUAUCCGGUUUUAUUGGGUUUAAGGGGUGCGCAGGCGGAAGAUCAAGUCAGCGGUAAAAUUGAGAGGCUCAACCUCUUCGAGCCGUUGAAACUGGUGUUCUUGAGUGAGCGAGAAGUAUGCGGAAUGCGUGGUGUAGCGGUGAAAUGCAUAGAUAUCACGCAGAACUCCGAUUGCGAAGGCAGCAUACCGGCGCUCAACUGACGCUCAUGCACGAAAGUGUGGGUAUCGAACAGGAUUAGAUACCCGGGUAGUC